UUGGGGAAUCCUUUUCUGCAGAUCCUGAUGCCUUCCAGCACACCGUUACAGCGCAGCUGGUGCAUGACCAGAGGAUUCUCCAUGGCCCCAGGAGUCUUGGUCUCAUUGGGGAUGAUGCAGCGCACAAAAUGAGGAUCACUCUUCUCUUAAUGUCAGAGAGGUUAAGUGGUUGCAGAUUUACACAGAGACCCACGCGCCAGAGCCAGUCUUUAGAUCUAGUUUACACUCAAAGCUUUUACAGCUAUGCUGUUGGCAUGUUGUCAGCAGCUAAAGGGAACCCUUCACUGACAACUCUGUCAUGACCUCCCCAAUGUUGUACUGUAGCUGCAGAAAGACAGAGGAGGAAGUUGAUACUGGAGUAACCGCCAUGGAUGCAGCGAAGGAUGUCAGGCAGCUGCUCAACUGGUGACUUUCAAAAUGCAACAACCCGGAGCAGGAAUGAAAAUGAGACAUCUUACUGGUGCUGGAGGUACAAGAAUCAAUGUUUAAUAUGACGGAAGACACAGAAAACCUCCCAAAUCCAGCUGAUUUGUCACAGAUUCCCUCUCACAGGGGUGGAAGGGAAACAACAAACAUGUUUCAGGAGCAAUUUAGAGGGUUUUUUUAUUCUCUCUGAGCACAGCGACAGGUAGACCUUCACCUGUUUACCGUCGACUGAUAAUUUUCCUGGGACCAACUGCAUAUUCCUCAAAUGCUCAAUGUGAAAUCAGACCCUCCCUCUAUAAAAGCUGUCCUCUAUGGAAGGAUGUGUUCACCAUCAUUAUCUCAUCAUUCUGAUACGUGCUCAGAGGAUUAAUAGACAAAGCAUGAUGGAUAUUAAUAAACCUUUUGUUUGUUACCUUGUGUGAACUUUGGUGCACGCACGCACGCACACACACACACACACACACACACACACACACACACACACACACACACACACACACACACACAGACUGUGUUGGAGCCAGGUUACUGGUCACACCAUCAGUGGUAUUUUCAGGCUGAGUAGCCAGAAAGAUAAGAGCCCCCUUUCACAGAAACAAAACAGAACCAAGCAAAAAUAACCCCGACAGCAGAGUCAGAGCCUGAAUAUUAGACGGUGAAUCCAGACGUGGCGAUGGACUCGCCCUCAUAGCUCAGCAUUUCACUGGCACUUUUAAACAUCCCGUGCGUGAAUUUAUGUAAGUUUUAUUGCGUGUCCUGGAUGUGGCAGAAAACUAGAAAGAUUAACUUCUGAUCUUAAUCCAAAUCAGAUUUAAAUUUCACAUCAGAAUCCAUUUUAAAAUCUGGAUACAAUCAGCUUUACAGAGGAUCAACAGCAGCACUGUUUACAAAAAGCCCUGAUUUGCCGGGAGAGUUUUAAAGCAAGGUUGAGCAGAAUUUUGAUAUUUAAACUAUUUCUCAGUUAGCCACCAUUUGGUCUGUAUGCUGCUGCUGGUGAUGGAAUCCUGAUAGAUAAAGCCAACAUGUCCAUGUAUAAACUACCUCUACACUAACGAAACAGCCCCCAUUUGAAUUGACUUCAGCGUCUAAAACACAAUGAUUUAUUCCAGAAGCCCGUCCAUCCUCUUUUAGCUGCUGUGUUGGACCACCUUCAGCAGCGGAAUGGAGCAGAACAGGUCACAUCAGGCAGCUGUCUGUGAUUGCACCCACUGUUUUGGUGGGAUUUGAGGUGAGAUGCUACAGCUG
ensembl:lncRNA